UCCAUUCUUUGAUUAAAUUCAUUGGUGUCAGUAUCCUACACCUUAGGACGCGAAGAGGGAGAGGGAGAUGGAGGAGUGGGAGAGGAGAGAGGUGGGAAGAAAGCCGGCAAUGUUAGUCCUGCGUUGCUUGAGGAAAGAAGGACGGGUGAGUGAGUGGCCAGACAAGACUAAUAUUUUGUACUUUAUUUUAUUUUUUUCUGUGUUUGUGUUCCUGUAUUGCUGCGGGUGACGUCAAACAACAUUGCAACACAUCGGUAAGGUGAGUGUUGUGGCUGUGGUGGUGUUAGGUGAAAAUUAGGCUAACGAGUGCUAGUUAGGUCGCUGUCUAGUUAGUGUUAAGCCUCGUUUGUUAGGCGUUCUUGUGUUUGAAUGUUAAUGUUUUUAUCUUCGCCAGAGAUUGAAAUGAUGAGGUGAGUGUUGUGGUGUCCCUGUUGUCAGGUAAUUAUAACACUAACGAGGUGCUUGUUGGGUAGUUAGUGUUAAUCUUGUUUGUUGGGCGUUCUUGUGUUGGGAUAUUAAUGAAGAAAUGUUUGUGUUUUCACCUGAUAUUAGAUCUGUGACAAGCGUGUUAUGGUGGUGGUGAUGGUGGUGGUGAUGGUGGUGGUGGUGGUAGGUCAGUGGGUCACAAACUUUUUCGUGUGACCCUAUUUGGAACAUUUCAAUCCCUCGUGACACAUUGUUAAGUAAAUAAAAAGAAAAUGUACAGUGAUAUUUUGUUUGUGUCCCUGCGACCCAUCAAAAUUGGUCUCGCCCUUAGUUUGAGAGCCAGUGUGCUAGAUGAUUAUGCUGACGAGGUGAUAAGUUGGUUGACUUGUUAGUAUUAAGCCUCGUUUGUUGUGCAUUCAUGUGUUGGGAUACUAUUGAAAUAAUGAUCGCGUUUUUUUAAGGUCUUCUUGAUGUGAUGGGAUAUUAUUUGGAUAUUAAAAUGCAGCAAUUCUAAGUAUUACGUCUUAGUAUAUCGCUCCUUCUUGAGAUCAGUUUUAGAAUGAUCACUAGCCAUCUCUCUCUCUCUCUCUCUCUCUCUCUCUCUCUCUCUCUCUCUCUCUCUCUCUCUCUCUAUUUCUGGGUAUUUCAAAUUUACAUGUUUGCUGGAAUUAUAUCCUCGUUAACUAUAAAUUUCACCCUCUCUUCGUUACACACACACACAAUGAACUUCCCUCCCAGCUCUCCCUGCCACACUUAUGGUCAGUAACGCCAGUCUUUCCGCAGGUAGGGUUACGUAAGCUGAACAUCGUGGGACAGACAGCGCGCGGGAGCAACGAGAUCCGUGGCGCAAAGUAAGCUUUAAUUAACCUGUGCUUCCUUUCCAGGGCUACUAAUCCUCGAAUCUUGCAGGAAACGCGUGGAGUGAGUGAAUGGUGCUCUACUGUCCUCUCUUUCUCUGUCUUGGCCUGUUCCCCGUUACUGUAGGUGAAGACACAGUAAAGGUUAAGACAGUGAUGAGAUAGAGAAAAAAUAUAUAUGAGGUCAGUUUGGAGAAGAGAAGCGGUAGAUUAAGGUGGUCUGGACAGGUUAAGAGGAAAGACGAGUGUAUGGGGAGAAGGAUGCUGAAGAUGGAUUUACCUGAAAGAAGGAAGAAUGAAAAACGUGUGGCUGCGGACUGCGGGAGGUGCGACUCUUCCGUGACUCCCAGCAGAGACGCCUCCUUGUGUGGCUCCAGUGUGUCAGACUGCUGUGGCUAUUUUCUUUACUAAGACUAUAGACCUGCACACACGAAACCAAGACACUUAUUUUGGUAUUUAGAAGAACCUUUCCACCCUUACGCCAUUUUGCCAACAAGCUGGUACGAAGAGCAUAAGGAUAUAAGGAUACAAGGGAAGCAGCAAGAAGCAGUCAGACCAACACGUGGCGGUCCCUGCAUAAAACAUACCUGUCUAUUUCCACUUAUCAUCCUCAUCUUGUCUAAUCUUCUUUUAAAGCUCCCUGAUGACUCGGUACUAUCAACCAUUCAUCUUUAUCAAGCUUAAGCCCGUUAUUUCUCAUUCUAUCCUGAUUACUGACCUGAGAAUUUUACUUGUCACCCUUGUUAUAUCUCGUAUACCACUUGAGAACAUAAUUGAAGAAAACAAGGGAAACUACAAGAAGCCAUUAGGCCUACACGUGGCAGUCCCGGUAUUAAACAUGCCUAUCCAUUACCGCCUAUUAUCCCCAUCCACAUGAAGAAACAUUAGCUCUUAAACUAUUUCACAGAAGAGGAAAAAUUUUAUAAAACAUGCCUUUUUAUGUUUACAAUUUACUGCUUACUUCACUUGGCUUACAGACUACUACGACCAGGUGUCCUCUUGCUAUUCAUUUUAAAUUUCUGAAGCCACUUACCAACGAGAUAUCCUGACCAAACCUCUCUCAGCUGUGUGACUGAUGGCCGCUGCAAGUGAUGUAUCCGUUCCCUGGAGCCAUUUAUAGGCAUGUAUAAUAAAGCCGGUAUUACGAACUCACGAGGAAAAUGGCAAGGGAUAAGUGGACUGUUGUGGAUUUCAGAAUUUUCGUGCGUGUUUUUUCCUAGAUGGUUGUUUAUGAGGAGUGUUUAUUGAUCGAAGUUAUUUAUGCAGUAGUGAGUUUUGUGUACAGUGUAGAGUAAAAUGUUGUAAUUAAGAUGCCUGCGCCCCGCUCACACAAACACAUGCACAUAUGUUAAUACGCGCAUACACGCGUAUUAACAUUUAUAUUAAUUUUGAUAUUAGUGUUGUAUUAUUACAUUCCUUCUGCUUGUAUAUUUUCAUAUCUCGGGUCUCCUCCGCCAAAUAAACUUUGUUGUUGUUGUUGUAAUAUAUCACAUAAUUUUUUAUAUAUUUUUCUUUCUUCAGUAAUAGCGAAUUAAUAGUUACUACUACUACUACUACUACUAUAAUUCACACACACACACACACACACACACACACACACACACACACACACACACACACACACACACACACACACACACACACACCCCUUAUUAUCUUUUUUUCCACAAGUGGCGAACCGUAUUAUCGAUCAUUUCCUGUCAACAAGUGCAAAAUAUUUGAAGUGUCUUGGCCAAGGUAUGAGUGUAUGAUUGUCUCCCGCUAUCUUGAUUCUCACCGAAUGGAGAGUCACGGGACCAGGGACGGAGUGAGUUUGAGAAUUAGUUCUUAUCACGUGAGUUCUUUUCUCACUCAGACUUAAUACACGUAAUUCAACACAGGAAUAUAUGAACUAAACUAAAAGAGGAAUGACAAUGCGAGUAAGGAUAAGAAUAAUGAUACGUAAUAAUGAGAAGGAAAGAAAAAAAAAACUGGAUGAAUUCACACAAAUCGAUGAACUGAAAGAAAAGAAAAGAGAGAAAAAAAAAAAGAAAAAGGAUAAUCAGCAAACAAACAAACAACAAUAACUAUGAAUUCAGCAUCAAUUAAAUCAACAAAAUGCAAUAAAAUCAACAAAUUACGUACAAAAUAAACUUAACAAACACAUCAACGAGCUCAACAAACUACUACUAAUUUCAACGAGUACAUGGAAUGACAGAUCUUGAGCCGAGUGUGAAAGACAAAAACCUUGAGCCAGAGACCACCACCACCACCACCACCGGUCCUCCACCUUUCACCCACGCUGCGAUCUGUUCCUCUUUAGACCACUGGGUUGCAUGGCAGUUACCUUAAUUAAUACGUCCUCUGCUAAUAACCCUUCGCGUGGGAAAUAAGUCCAGGUGCGUGUAUAUUGUGCUUAGAGUGUAAAAGUGUGCGAUGGUGAGUGUGAUAAUGAAUAAAA